AUGAACGCUGGCGGCGUGCCUAAUACCUGCAAGUCGCGCGAACAGACGAGGAGCUUGCUCCUCUGACGUUAGCGGCGGACGGGUGAGUAACACGUGGAUAACCUACCUAUAAGACUGGGAUAACUUCGGGAAACCGGAGCUAAUACCGGAUAAUAUAUUGAACCGCAUGGUUCAAUAGUGUAAGACGGUUUUGCUGUCACUUAUAGAUGGAUCCGCGCCGCAUUAGCUAGUUGGUAAGGUAACGGCUUACCAAGGCAACGAUGCGUAGCCGACCUGAGAGGGUGAUCGGCCACACUGGAACUGGGACACGGUCCAGACUCCUACGGGAGGCAGCAGUAGGGAAUCUUCCGCAAUGGGCGAAAGCCUGACGGAGCAACGCCGCGUGAGUGAUGAAGGUCUUCGGAUCGUAAAACUCUGUUAUUAGGGAAGAACAAAUGUGUAAGUAACUAUGCACGUCUUGACGGUACCUAAUCAGAAAGCCACGGCUAACUACGUG
rnacentral:rRNA from 1 species